UACGAAGGGGGCUAGCGUUGCUCGGAAUCACUGGGCGUAAAGGGCGCGUAGGCGGCCAUUCAAGUCGGGGGUGAAAGCCUGUGGCUCAACCACAGAAUUGCCUUCGAUACUGUUUGGCUUGAGUAUGGUAGAGGUUGGUGGAACUGCGAGUGUAGAGGUGAAAUUCGUAGAUAUUCGCAAGAACACCGGUGGCGAAGGCGGCCAACUGGACCAUUACUGACGCUGAGGCGCGAAAGCGUGGGGAGCGAACAGG
rnacentral:rRNA from 1 species